GCGAGGAUGGCGGAAUUGGCAGACGCGCUAGACUUAGGAUCUAGUGCCUUCAGGUGUGGGGGUUCGAGUCCCCCUCCUCGCACCA
rnacentral:tRNA from 1 species